rfam:Myotis davidii contig22851, whole genome shotgun sequence.
ACUGGGUAGGGGGAGCUCCCUCAGCCUGGAUUGCAAGAGGGCACAGGCCAGGCCGAGGGACCCCACUGGUGCACG